UGGGGAAUUUUGGACAAUGGGCGAAAGCCUGAUCCAGCAAUGCCGCGUGUGUGAAGAAGGCCUUCGGGUUGUAAAGCACUUUUGUCCGGAAAGAAAUCCUUGGCUCUAAUACAGUCGGGGGAUGACGGUACCGGAAGAAUAAGCACCGGCUAACUACGUGCCAGCAGCCGCGGUAAUACGUAGGGUGCAAGCGUUAAUCGGAAUUACUGGGCGUAAAGCGUGCGCAGGCGGUUUGCUAAGACCGAUGUGAAAUCCCCGGGCUCAACCUGGGAACUGCAUUGGGUGACUGGCAGGCUAGAGGUAUGGCAGAGGGGGGUAGAAUUCCACGUGUAGCAGUGAAAUGCGUAGAGAUGUGGAGGAAUACCCGAUGGCGAAGGCAGCCCCCUGGGCCAAUACUGACGCUGCAUGCACGAAAGCGUGGGGAGCAAACAGGAUUNGAUAACCCUGGUAGUCCACGUCCUGAAACGAUGUCAACUAGUUGUU
rnacentral:rRNA from 1 species